ensembl:lncRNA
GUGAGUUGUGAUGGAUUUUCCUUGGCUCGCUCAGUUUUUGCCUUUAAGCAGUGCUAUUGAUUCACAGGGUAAUGAAUCUGCCUAGUGUCACUUUUCACGACAGCUGUCACUCCCCAACUCUGCACAUCAGUCCCAAUCAGGGGAGAGAAAAAGGGGAGUCCGAUCGAUUGACGUUAAUUAUGCGGAUGUAAGGAGGGACGAUGCACAUUGGCGUGUGUCUCCUCCAGAGGAGUCGAUAAAGGUCAGGCAAUUCGUUUUCCCCCACAGUUUUUUUUUCCCAGGCAUUCAAUAUUGUCACGCUGAAGAUGGAAAGCACAUCUUACACAUCUCACUUUAACCUCGUGCUGUAGAUCUAGGCACAUGUUCAUAACCUUUAAAGCACAAGAUUGUCGUGUCUGGAUUCAUCAUUGGGAUGAAUAUUAAAACUUUCUGGUUGGUGUUUUUGGAUUUUGGGGUGUUUUUUGUUUUGGAUUAUGGUAACGGGAACGUUUUUCAUUUACAUUCUAGUAAAAACUGGGCUUUUUGAGGAUAACUGAUGGCUAUUUCUUUUUUCUUUUUUUUUUUUGCCUGUCCCGUUUGGCUCUUUUGCCAUCAGAAUUAUUGUCUAAAGGCAAAGAAAGAUGCCCAACGGAUUUACUUUACCAAAUUGACCAUCCCAGCCUUGCCGUAAUGGUCCAUUUGAUUCACCUUUUAUUGUUUCUUUUAUUUUCACUUACUGAAUACGGGACAGACUUGACUGGGGGAAAGAAGGGGAGAAAGAAAGAGGGAAAGAGAAACAGCUGAGAAGAGGGACGGGGGAGAAGGGCAAAAGACAAAAACCAACAGAAUGGGCAGGAAAAAAAAAGAAAAAAAAAAUGCAUAUAUCGAUCACCUGGAUCACCUGCUGAGAAAGAAAAAAGAAAGCAAGCAGAAGAAAACGAGAGUAAUAGAAUAAACAACAUCACAAUGAUAUAUGGGAAUAUGACAGUAAAUACUAAAUAUUAAACAUUAUUGUGCAGCACAUAAGAUCAACAGAACACAGUGUGCUUUGAGGUAGGAGCCAAAAAGGGGUGUAGUUUGUGGGUGUGAUCACCCGUGUGUACACCUGUGAGCAUGGAUGCGCUUGUUU